GGGUUUUCCCCCCUGUAACCGGCGAGGAAGCGGCAACAGCUCAAAUUUGAAAUUCUGGCCCCUCGUGGUCCCGAGUUGUAAUUUGUAGAGGAUGCUUUUGGGCGCGGUGCCUUCCCGAGUUCCCUGGAACGGGACGCCCAGAGAGGGUGAGAGCCCCGUACGGUUGGACGCCUAGCCUAUUUAUAGCUCCUUCGACGAGUCGAGUAGUUUGGGAAUGCUGCUCUAAAUGGGAGGUAAAUUUCUUCUAAAGCUAAAUACCGGCCAGAGACCGAUAGCGCACAAGUAGAGUGAUCGAAAGAUGAAAAGCACUUUGAAAAGAGGGUUAAAUAGCACGUGAAAUUGUUGAAAGGGAAGCGUUUGCGACCAGACCUUUUCCAGGCGGAUCAUCCGGUGUUCUCACCGGUGCACUUCGCCUGGUUUAGGCCAGCAUCGGUUUCCCCCGGGGGAUAAAGGCUUAAGGCAUGUAGCUCUUUCGGGAGUGUUAUAGCCCUCUGCGUAAUACCCUGGGGGGGACCGAGGAUCGCGCUCUGCAAGGAUGCUGGCGUAAUGGUCGUCAACGACCCGUCUUGAAACACGGACCAAGGAGUCGAACAUUUGUGCGAGUGUUUGGGUGUUAAACCCUCACGCGUAAUGAAAGUGAACGGAGGUGAGAGCCCUUACGGGUGCAUCAUCGACCGAUCCUGAUGUCUUCGGAUGGAUUUGAGUAAGAGCAUAACUGUUCGGACCCGAAAGAUGGUGAACUAUGCGUGGAUAGGGUGAAGCCAGAGGAAACUCUGGUGGAAGCUCGCAGCGGUUCUGACGUGCAAAUCGAUCGUCAAAUCUGCGCAUGGGGGCGAAAGUAUGUAUACCUAAUUUUGUUUAAAUGAAACCAUAUGCUAACAGUAAUCUUUAGGACUAUCGACCAUCUUAGG
rnacentral:rRNA from 1 species